UAAUUGUUUAUGUUGGCACACAUUGUCAACGAUAUCUGAAAUUUUAUUCGAAUCUAAAUUCGAACGGAAUGAAUUUAUUCGAUACUAAAUAAAUAUAAUUUUGAAUAUGAAUAUUAAAAUUAAAAAUAUGACGAAUUUGAAUUCAUGUAUGAAUUUUAAUUGUAUCCGAUUCAAAUCCGAACCAGACCCAAAUCCGAGAUUAUUUGACAUUUUAUAUAUAUGUUUGAUGUUGUAUUAGAAUUUGUAGUUUAAAUAUUUAGACUUAAUGUGAUAUAUUUUGAAAUAUUAUAAAGAGAAAUAAUUAUUUCAGGCCUAGAUUUUCGGGUUCGGACUCGAGUUGAGAUUCGGAUUUUUGAUCAAAUUCGGAUUUGGAUAUUGAUUUUUAAAAUUUGUCAGAUUCGAGUUCGGAUUCGCCUUUUGGGUUUGGUAGUUAGGUUCGGGCUCAAAUAUUUUAAAAUUCGCUCCGAAUCCAACCUGUUGACAUUCCUAAUGUUGGCUAUGUUAUCUUAGACUUCUUCUUAUCCAAGUCUAUCUAUAGUGUAUAAGAGUGCUGCUACAUGUAUCCCAAAAUACAUAUAUUCUAUAAUAUUAUUAUUGAUGACAUAAUAAUAUCAUUAUUACACUCUAAAUAUUAAUUAUUAAAUCGUAACGUAUUAUCAUUAUAUUCUAAAAAUGCUAAGAUAUCAACAAUCAACAAUAUAAUAGGAUAUCCAAAAGUGUGGUAUCCGGCCAAAAUAUUUUUUGAUAUCCGAUAUUCACAAUUUGAAACUUAGUCGUUUUACAUUUUAGUUGAGUUUACAAUUUCAAAAAAUGAACAAAGCUGGUAGCUUACUAUUUUUUUUUCACUCAUACGAGAACACAAAUUUCCAACCUUGCGAUAGAACCCGCUAACCUAACUACUAAGCUAAGGAGAGGGAACGUCAUAACU
rnacentral:lncRNA from 1 species